rnacentral:lncRNA from 1 species
CGAGGCGAGAACAAAAAGCAGAGAGGGAGCGCCGUCAGACAAUGCGGCCCGCCGCCCGCUUUUGUCUCCCGCACACGCGGCCGCUUGAAUUUAGAUGGAAGCGACCGUUGGCCCCGCACCUUCCCGCCCGGAGCCGUCCCUGAGGGGAGCGGCAUCGACAACCGGCUGCUCUCAAGGGCGGCACCUCCGCCCGGCCCUCAAUCCGAGCGCGGCCGGAGGAAGCCCGCGGGCCGACCCAGGGAUCCAGGGUAAAAGGACGUCACUGUUGCCAUGGCGAUGCCGUUACCAACUCCCCUCAGCCUCCCCGCCACCCCGGCACUUCUGGGUGCGGCACGAGACCCAGAGGCGCGCACGACCUCCUAGGCGGCGGCUGCGUCUCCCGCUGCGGAUGGUGCAUUGCAUCUCACGUUAUUUCUGGAAUCCCUGGGGCCCCGCUACAGACACAUGAGUGUUUAUGGCCCUGUGGGCUGGGGUGGAGCUGGACACCGAGAAAUCCCAAU